CCCGCGGGGCUCCGGGCGGCCGUGACCCUGCUGGAGUCCGGGGGGGACCUCCAGCCCCCCGGGGGGUCCCUGCGCCUCCUCUGCCGCGCCUCCGGCUUCGAUUUCGGGAGUCACGACAUGUUCUGGAUCCGCCAGAGACCCGGGCAGGCGCUGGAGUGGGUCGGGAGCGUCAGGAAGGAAGGCUGGAGCUCCGCGUACGCGCCGUCGGUGCGGGGCCGAUUCGGGAUCUCCCGGGACAACGGGCAGAGCUCGGUGACGCUGGCCAUGAACGGCCUCAAGGACGAGGAUUCCGGCUCCUAUUUCUGUGCCAGAAGUUUCCGCGGUGGUUACAGCGGUGCUGCUGUUGCUCCUGGGCCCUGA